UACAUGGGGUGCAAACGUUGCUCGGAAUUAUUGGGCGUAAAGCGCGCGUAGGCGGUUGCCUAAGUCGAAUGUGAAAGCCCUCGGCUUAACCGAGGAAGUGCAUCCGAAACUGAGCAGCUAGAGUACGAAAGAGGGUCGCGGAAUUCCCGGUGUAGAGGUGAAAUUCGUAGAUAUCGGGAGGAACACCGGCGGCGAAGGCGGCGACCUGGGUCGAGACUGACGCUGAGGCGCGAAAGCGUGGGGAGCAAACAGG
rnacentral:rRNA from 1 species